CCCUUUUGCAGCCUGAAGGACCAGGGCUUCCUCCCACAGCUUUCUCGGCAAUAUCCGCUGCUCCAUCUCUGCCUCUUCUUGGCUGAGGUCCACAACUACCAAAGCCAGAUAUCUGAAGAAUUAAACGAUACUUCAGGCUCUUCAAGAAUCAGCUGGGGAGCUGACUGGAGUGGACGCUCUCCAUGCUGGGGGGGCAGGGGGGGCCCUUGAGCCUUGUUUGGCGUGGUGCUCCUGUUGACUGAAGAAACUGCUGUCUUACCCCUGUUUCCACGGUCUGACCUGCAGAGUAGCAGCUUGCAAAAGCCCUGAAGACCUUGACUAUCAGGAGUCCGCCAGUUUGAAGAACAAUAAAGAGCAGCAAAUCGCCACCCAUGGUCAGGACAACAGCAGCUCCCACCCGGGGUCCCCGACUCAGACAUGAUCAGUUCCCUUGACAGGAGACUACAAAUGCUGGCAUUGUCAGUCUUUACAACACCCCGAGGAAGAAACUGUUAUUCCUGCUUGCAGAAAAUGAGAUUUAGAAGAGGUGAGUCACUUGCUCCAGGUCUCCCAGCAGUAAAGGGGCAGGGGACAUUGUCUCACCCAAUCCACAGACCCCAUGGCUUUUGAUCUACACCAUGUGGUUUAGCCUCUUCUCUUGACCCCAACAACCAAAACCCAUUAAUGUAACUGGGGGUCCCCAGUACCCCUUUCUCCUCUCCAUGUGGCCUCCUGAUUCCUAAAUGUCUAUUCUGAGGUGCCCUCUACUCUGCUAGACCAUCCAUCCCACUUAGCAGGAACUGUGCACAUCAUGUGGUUUGUAUAUGUUCUUUCAGCAUUGUCAGGUCUUAUUUUAUAAUUUAACUUCUCCUGUGUAUGUUUUCU